UGAAUCAGUAACAUCUGUGACUGCAGGGCAGCCCGAGUGGGAAUGGUUAGGGGGUUAGGCAGAUUUCCUGCAUUUCAAGGCUCUUUUCCUCUGAAGAGACUGCUUUGGGACAAUCCAAUUGCAUUUAAUGCUGCUUCUUUCCUUUUCCUUUUUUUUUUUAUUUUUUUUUUCCCUUUUGGUGUGUGUGUGUGUGUUGUUUUAACCCCAUCUUUUCUCUCCCUUUUUUUCCCUCCUUUCAGCCCCACCCAAGUUGUUUGGGUUUAAGAAGUAAAAAUGAUUUUAAGGACGCACGCCAGCAUUUUGAAAAGUUUCGGUUUCAAACACAUGAAAAGAAAAGUCUGAAGGGAUUCCUAGAACUGUAUUGCAGCUUGCAGCAUGUUCCUCUCCAUGUAGUGACCUUAGCCUGUCUGCAUGCCAGGGGAGCGAUCUCCAUCUGUUGAACACUUGUCACAUGAACCAGUGACCUACACCGAUGUAACACCCUACAACACCUGUGAGUUGCUCAACCGUGGCCGCCCCGGCCGCUGAGAGACACAGAGCAAGAAGCACCCGCGACAGCUUGGAAGAAACUGGGUCACUUUUUUUAUAUACCUUAAAGACAAAAUACGAAGCAAAAUUCUUCCUGGUAGCUGUGAAGCUGGAAGCAAUUUCAAGCCCCUUUUUUAAGCAGAAAGGCUGCUCUUGCCUUAGUUCACAGAAAUUAACACUGAUACAUUAGCCUGUCAUCCACCGAGAGCUUUAACUGCGUAGAGGAAGGCACCUGGACUCGAAGGAUCGAAGCUCUGCUCGCUUUUCUCAAGUUGGAUAUUCUGGUGCUUCUGGUGAGUCUUGCAUAUGUAGAAGCAGCAGAACUUGUCUCAGGGAAUAAAGGCAUCGCCACGGGAAGGGACAGAUGGUAUAUGUUCCUGAGACCCAGCUACGGAUUGAUGCUCCUAAGGACAGCCGCUCCCGCAGGUGGGAGCGUGUUUAAAUGAGCCGGUGGCACAGAAAGUUGGGGAAGGAAGGAGCGCCUCGGGUGAGUGAUCUUCUGCGGGAUUUUGGACCCAGGACCCUUCUCCUCAUGAAGCUGCUGAGGUCAGCUCUUUGGAAGUUGGGUGCUGGAAAUCUCCCCAGGAGGGCUGGGCUCCAGCGGGAUGGAGAAGGCUGGGGCUCCCAGGCAGCUGCCUCCAACCCUUGCACCAGCUGUUCCGUGGGUAUUUCCUAAUACUUUCUUCACUUUUAUUUAUUUUAAUUCACUUCAAAGUUGUAUUUGAAUAGAAGAGCCUGAACCGGUUGUGUGUUCAGUGACUGACUGAGAUCCUGAGGCCUUUUUUUGUCGCCAGAAGCCGCCUCACCUGCCUGGAGGCACGGAGGUGGGGCACUUACUGGAAAGUCGGCUCUCUGGGACACAGCCUGGUGUCAAACUAGCUUAUUGUUUCCAAAAAAAUGGUAUUUUUCCCACCUGUUUUUUAUUUGUUUGAAAGUAGCUUUUUUUUUUUCACACAAAUUUCUGCCAAAAGGCUUAGUAACUCACCUCAGCCUGUGGCCAGCACCAGUCUUUUGACGCAAAAGUGCAAAUGUUGGUUUAGAUAAGUUACGUGUUUUGCAUGGGGAAAACGUUUUCCUGACCCACACUAGUAGAGGAUGUUGUUCUCUGAUUUGUGAGAAUUCCUAAACCUCUCUAAAAUCUUCUGUUUGAUUUUCAGUCUUUAUUAUGGUAAGUUGAGAUGUUUUUUAUUUGCAACAUUAUUGUUCCUAGUGUGAUUGUUCUUGCAAUUAGAAAAUAAUACAGAUUAAAUGAUAGUUACAGUUUUGAGUUUUCCAGGUUGCAGAAGGUGUGCAUCUAUAUUUUCCUUCAAAUUUUACACUUUAAAAGAUUAAAAGAAUAUAUAUUAGGACAUAGCUGAAGUAUUUCUUUAUCCCCGAUCCCCGUAGGCUGUCUGCAGCUAGUCUGGGCUGAGGAUGAGCUUGGAAAGAAUACUUCUAUGCUCCUAGAAUAUAAAUUAAUUGCUAACUUCUCCAAGUUAAAAUGGUGAUACUAUGUUUUGUCUUCUAAGAACAAGCAGGGAUAUCAAUUAAAGUGUCACAAGUAAACCCUGAAUUGUUGUGAAGUAACAUCUGAUUUCCUAGAUUCAUCUGAAAGGUAUGUUUUCAGAUCUCAGAAGCCUCUCCUUAACCCCUGUUCCACAAAUAGCCUUAUGCUAGGAUGAAGCAGAGACAAAUACACAAUAGAACUUAAAUAUCUGCUUAAUAGGAACUGCUGAGGGGUGUGUGCUAUAUCUUCUCAUAGCAACCAUAGGCCACAUUUCAGAGGUGGAGGCUGAAUGGAUCAAAUGCAAUGGUUUCCAUGGUUGCACAGGGUUUCAUGUACCCAAUAACAUUAAUAUUCCGGUCCUUAAUAGAAUAACUUGUACAAAGGCAUUUUUCCCUCUUUAUUUCCUAUCUUAAAUUAUUAUUCUAUGGAUGAUUGCAUGGAAUUAGCACAUUAAAGUUAUAUUUAAUCUUAAAAUGUUCUUGAAAUUGUUUUUAGCAUGGGCUCAAGUCUGUAGUACUUACGCGAGCAAAAUUUCAGGUGCCUCCUGAGUCAACCCUGUAGAAUUUGGCUGGUGAAAUAAUGAUUUUUUUUUUCUCUUACCAGCUUGCUAAUAUCAUUUAUCUUAACAGAAGUUUGAUUGCCAUUUCUAGUCUGGCAAAGUCAGGUAUAUUGAUGAUGGCUGACUGUUUUUGGAAGACAAUGUGAGGCUGAGAGCUUACAGGUGGGAUCUCAGUUGUGAUAAUGUGACUUACAUUUUAAGCCCAGUGAGUUUUGCUGGAUCAAUGAAAAAUCCUUUUUAAGGGAAUGCCUCCUUUUGUGUUUUAUUACCAAGUUGGAGGUGAUUAUUGUUCUUGCUUUUGUUAUUAUCUAGGCUUCUAGCAGGCUCGUCUCUGCUGGAAAUUGUCCACUACCUCAUUUUUUAUGUCCUUCUGAAAAAUCGCAGUUCUUAAUUUUGGUAGCUAUUAUGAAAACAGCACUCCAGAAUUACACUUGAGCCAACAGUCAUAGAAAAGUCCCCAGUAAACAGUGUGUCUGGAUAGUUCCACUUGACCAGGACUUUCAUACAACUUAAAACAACAAAUGCUUGGGGAUUCCUUUUAAAGUGCAAAUAAUUUGCAGGUGCUGCCCUAGUUCUGGGAUAAGCCAUGGCUGAAUGAGGGGUAGUAUCACCAGGAAAGCUUGUUGUAGGGAAGAUGCAUUGUGUAAUUCUCCAGCUGAUUUGCUGAAUUAAAAACUGUUCUGGCAGUCCUAUUUGACAUUUCCAGUCACAGUGGGUAUAUCCAGCCCUACUGAAGCAGGGGGCAUAAGCAUCCAUACCAGAACCAUAGAAUAAAAUAUGCAGAGGUCUUGAGAGAGCUCUUUAGAAAAAAGAAAAAAAGAAAAAAAAAAAAAAAAAAAAACAACAAAAAAAACCACAGUGCUUAAAGAAAUUGUCCAAAUUUGUGUGACUUUGAUAUCUCUAAUGGCUAGUAGCUACUGCGAUGUAAUCAGUGCUGACUUCUGGCCUCUGCUCUACAACUGGAAAUCUGUGUGAGCAUGUAGAGCUCUCUAAACCUCCCAGUGAUUAAUCUGAAGUGUUUGUUAUCUGGCUCACAGAUGUCUAUUAAAGUGCAGUUUACAGAGACGAGCUCAAUGUGCAAAAAGGUUGAAUUUUUAGCUUGUGUAAACUGUUGUUUGCCCACUGAAGUCAACAGAGUUGUCUUUUGAUGAACCCCCAGCAGAGGAUCUGGUCUCUAACGAACUUUCAAUGUAUUGUUCUUGGCUGUGUCUAUGAAUAUUUCAGAGUGUGCUGAAGCUGGGCUCUGAAUGCAUUCAUUCAUAAACCACUGUAUAAAUGAUCAAAGGCAAGGCUUCUUGAUCUUGAAUGCAAUAAAUCCUCUGCUUUCAGGUUUACUGGACUGGAGACUAUCGUAGAAAUACUUGUUCCUCACAUACAGAUGAGGAAGCUGGAGUCAAGUAUUGCUCACUUUGGACAAAUGCCUCUGGAAGUCCCCAAAUUGCUUUGCACAUCUAACAGAUUGGACAGAAGCAGCUCAGCCUCCACAAACAGCAGUGUUGUGCUGGGUACGGUCUGCCUGCACAGAUCAUGUUUUUGGAGACUUUUGUUUACUGCCUGAGGUCUAAUAGUGACAGAGGAGAAGGGCGUUUACCUGAAUAUCUGCAAAAUGCAAUCAGAAGGAAAGGCAACUAAUUUAAAAUCAGGCAGUAUGUUCAGAUAAGCUUAUUUUUGGCUUUCAAAUUUUUUGCUAUAAACACAUUGUAUAGAUUAUUAACAAAGACUUGCUUUUUAUUUUAUUUUAUUUUAUUGUGCAUUUAUGUUUGUUCAGCAUCUUGGAGAUUUCUUUUCAGAACAAUGGUAAAGCCUUAGAGCAAAAGUGAUGUGAAGCAGGUUUUGGGGUCGUGAAACAAGUACAUGACUUCUCCUUAGAAUUGAUUUUUUCCAGCCAUCCAAGUAGUUACAUUCACAGAAGUAUUAUUUAAAGACAAUAUUUUCUAAGGGUGUUUAUAUCCAGAUAAUGUUAGAGAAACAUGUACAAUGAAGACUAACUGAAAAUAAAGCUCAGAACUUCUUCACCCUUUCUAGGUUUCUUAAGGGAAUGUUAAUUCUCUCUGCAAUAAACUACGGCACUGUUAAGUGGGAUUGGCAAUGCUUAACUCUGAACUCAUUUAAAAUGAACACUCAAAAAUACUGUACAAUUGGGAUUUGCUUAACCCCAUGUAUAUCACUGUGGAUUUCCCCCAUGCUAUACGGGCUGAAAUUUUUCAACUCAAAACCGUCUUCAGUAAGGACUCCCGUGGUGCAUAUCUUCCUUGCAAAGGGCAGAGAAGCAGUGACAGGUGGGAAAUAUAGUCUUGAGAGGCAAUAUUUCCUAGGAGAAAUACUUUUAUUUCAGGAUGAAAUAUUUCAACUUCAAAUGUCUUAACUUCUUUCAAGUUCUUUCUCUACAGGAUUGCUCACCUACUGCUAACACUGGCCGGGUAUGCCAGAAGCCCUGUGCACAUGCUUGAAGUUAACCAAACCAAACUACAUUACCUAGUAACAGAGCCUGCCAUCCAGAGGCAAAAGAAAUAUGUGGCAUGAAGACUAACUGUGAAGGUUUCCCAGCUACAUGUCUAUGAUACCAGUACCAACCCCAUCGCCCAAGAUGGAUGACAGCCCCAUUCUGUUAGAAACUACUGUUGUUUCGGAGGUUAAUGGAUAAUCCUGCCCUUGUGAAUAGGAAUGUUGCCAGCAACAACAACUGGGAGAAGAUUAUUGACUCUCUGAAGCAAAGCUUAGAAGAUAAUUGUUGUGUUUAAAUGCUAAUUCUAUAGUAUUAUCCCAGUAACUUGUUGAUGCAUCUAAGAGUUGCUUGAUGUCUAUCUGUACACACCCACACAUGUGCACACACUUGCCUGUGGGAAUUCACAUGCUUCUGCUGAUAUGUAUGCAAAAGAUUUGCUGUGUUUUCUUAUUUGUAAACAGAAAAUGACUGGAUUCAUUUCCUGAUAAAGGGAGCUAUUCCAAACACACCACCAAUUCACUGUCUAUGUUCAUCUUGCAAGCUGAUCAGUUCAUCCUCGUGCACUUGCAGCCAUGGUUCAAGAUACAGAAGCUGCAGAAAUGCCACAGGACAAGCUAAAGCUGCAUGUUACCAACCCCCCACUAGAGAGGUACUUCACCCAUUGGGAGAAGCAUACACAGACCAUUACAUCUUUCACUCGGCAGGGUUUGUAUGACAUGAGAAUUGCUACCUGCCACCCAAUGUGUCUCAUGCUGAGAGACAGGACUCUGUAGUACUGGAGCCUGGCUGUCUGCAGUCGGGGCUGCUGUACUACAUCCAAAGCAAGCUCGCCAGUCAGCAAACGCUGCAUUAAUCUUUUGGGGAGUGUUUGUUUUGCUUGUUUUGCUAGGCUGAGUUUCAAGCAACUGAUAAUGUGUUUGUGAGCAGUUCUCCUGUUGCAGCCCAUUUUUCAAAGGAAGUGCGAAGACCGAUGCUCCCAAGGUUUGGUGGAACAUGGUUGUGAAGGGUUAUAUAUGAUCUUGCUUCGAUGUGUGAGCGUACGGUGCUUUCAAGUGCAUGGUAAUAUGUCUGUGCAGGUACAUCUGGGAUAGUGGAGUUAUGGCUCUGUGUGAAGUCUGAUGAGUGUUUUUAAAAAUAUGCCUUGGUCAUGGUUCUUCUCUAUGGGUGCUAAUUCCGCUCAUGCAGCUACCUCACUGCAAGUGAGAUGUGCGUUUCCUUGCUCAGUAAUAGUCAAAUUUUCAAACUGCUGAAAGAUAAACUCCGAAGCCUUCUGAGAAUUAAAUGAGAUAACCACUUUAUUGCUUAAAGGUUUAUGAGAAUGGAAAUGCCUGGAAUUUCAGGAGGAAAAUGACAAUGUAUAUGGUUUGUCGCUACUUGCAGUGUUGCUGCUCUGUCCAGCUGCAUUACUGUUGUUAUUGUUCUCAUAGGCACUUAAAAUCACUUCCUUCAAUAUAUUUAUGCAUUUAGUUUCUCCUAGCAAAAAGGAAUUUAAAUACCUUUUAGGAUGUGGAAAGUUCAGAUAUGAUUCCAGAGCCUCCCAGAUGUGUAGGACCGUAAAAACAAGAAACAUUUUUCAGGACUUUUUAAAGCUUACUCUCCAUUGUUAUUAACCUAAUCUUUCACCUUUUCCCAGUCGCAAUAAAGAUGAUUUCAAAGGCAGAAAUGAGAAAAAAUAUAUUCUUUCGAAUCUACCAGUUUGGGGGCCUGUUGCACACAUUUUUUCUGUUUCUUUGUGGUUUUAAAUUACAUUUCUGCUCUGAAGUCAAAUCAUCCGUUAACAUGUUGGUCUGGAAGGCCCCAAAGCUGCUGCAGACCUGGCAUGCAGCAAGCAGGCUGGCUAAAUGGGGAAAGCUGUCGCUCAUCCUCGCCUGCCGCAGACACAAGUGCUGUGAGAAUUCCCCUGGUGCAGGGAAGUGUUGUGGUAUCAGACUCAACAUUUAUUGGUGUAGUAACAAGUGAGUUCCUCCAGGCCCAAAGUAACAUUAUAAAACUCCCCUUUCCCCAAAUCAGCUGCUUGAAUUCGAUUUAAGAGAGGGUUUCGUGUCUUGUAUUUUUCUGUGUACUUCUUUGUGAAGAGUAAUGCCAAUCCUUAUGCUCAGUCUUCAACAGUAGUAUGUGUGGUAGGGUUGGGCUGCAUAGGACAGUUGUGUCCUACCACGUAGGGUGCUGUACAGACCGCUGCUAAUAAUGGGGAUGCUGUCCGGCUCUUGGUAGUGAAAGGUCCCCAAUAUGGGUGGACCACAGUGUGAGGAAUGUAAUAUCAGAUGUGUGUUAAGAUUUGGGAUGCAAUCCAGUGCCUCCAAAAUAUAAGCAUAAUUCCCCUUGCAGAACUUAUCCUCAUAAUUUUCCUGAGCAAGCUUUGAUUCUUUUGUGUGUUUUCUAGAAAAAAAAAUAACUUGGAAAAACAAAAGAUUUUCAUAUGUUCUGGAAUUUCUGCACUAAGAGUAUGCAGACUUAAGGCUAGUUACUGAGAACCGUCCAAUGUCUAGCUAAGAGUGAAAAAAUAACCAUGUCACUUCUUUGGAACCUGAUCUGAAGUUCACUGGAGUGAAUGAAAGGGCUCCUGUUGGUUUUAAGUGGAUCCAGCCUUUACACAGUGAACAGAAGACAUGUGUCUUAUCUGCUUAAAUGUGAAAAUGUUAUUGGUAAUUUAUGUUGAUAGAAAGAGCACAUGGUAACUUUCUUCCUGCGUUUAUAUAACAGGAGGCAAAAGCUUCAAGUACACAGUAAAAAAACAUGAAGGGAUGCAGUUGCUUAUAGCCAGCACGAUGACAGUGACACAACCAAGGAUUGGGCUGUUUUAAGGAUAUUUGAUGGAAGGGAGGCCGUUAGGUACAAGUUUCCUGUUACAUUCCUGCCUAAAAAAGACAGCCCACCACUCAGGUGAGCCGUGUCAUCGCCAAGCUUGCAGGAGGGGAGAUGGUUCUUACUGAUACACUUGUCUGAUGUCUUCUGAUUUUGGUUCAAGUGACACAGCAUUCAAAAGAUUUGAAGGCCAUGCUGAAGAAUAUUUCAGAGCAGGAAAGUGUGCAGGGAUAAGAUGGCUGAAGCCACUAAUCAGUAAUAAAUAUAACAUGAUGCUUCAUGCAUACAGGUCCUGCUUUACAUUAAUAAUUUGAUUAAAAUCAACAGACUGUCUGUGGAUUUUCACGAGUAUUAGAUCAGGAGAGAGUAAAAGGAAAAAAAAAGCUUUUUCUUUUUUUCUUUAGGUAUGCUGACUCUGUUUGUUUCUUUGGAAUGCUGAAACAAAUAAAGAAAAUGAAUAGAAAUGUCAAGACACUGGAAUAAAACCAACAUCAAAAGAGAAUUCUUUUGAACUGAUGAGCUGAGAGACGAAAUGGUAGCAGCAGAGCAGCAUCAGUUGGGGGUCAGAUACUGUAUGGUAGAUCUCCAUAUUUUUUAGCCAUCUUUUGAGACUGAUGCCUUGCGUUACAUGAUCAGAAAACCAAUUGCCGGAGGAAGUCCCUGAAACUACUUGUUGUCAAAGAAACUUGCACCAUCACAAGACAUCACCUCCACUUUCCAGACACUGAGUCUCCAGACAAUUAACUCACGUCUGCUGUUACUACGUUGUUUCUCUCACACUUCUCCUGGAUAUGUACGAAACUGUCGAGCUGAAUUACACUUUAUAAGGUGAUAGGGAAAAGAUCUAACAUCUAUUUUUCCCUCUUGCAGAUUUUAUAGUGUGGGGGAUGCUAAUUUUUACAGCCUAAAAAACAACCAAACCAAAGAAGUUCUGCUGCUCCUGAACUGAUAUCUUCCAGGAUUUGCUCGAGAGUUCCCGCUCAGAGAUGCGUGCUGGCAAAUUGCAAUACCACUGAGAACGGGAGGUCCGGAGCUGCAGCAGGAGUAAGGAACUUGGAAAAUGCAACUGGUGCGGAAGAGCGAACAAGGUCACUGGUGACAAGGCUCUGCUCCAUCUGUGCAGGCACGCUCUUGAGCAGAAGCAUUCCAGCAACGUGGCGUUUUGUCACAUUAUUCCGUUCCUUUUAAAUUUCAAUAGCUGGUUAUUUGCCUGCCUUUGGUUAGGAAACAAAGCCCCUCUUUGUGCAGCAACACAACGCGGCUAUCUCGUGUAACGGAGAAAUGAAAUGCAAAUAACGCAGGAAUUGUGCUUGUCUGGGGAAGAAGGCAGCAUUGUCUGGUGACAAGAGCAGGAGAAGGUGGUGUUGCCCAGUGCCUCUGACAAUCAGUCCCAAAAGUGGAAGAAACCACAGUUUGUGGAGUCUUCUGAUAACACUGACAUUAAAACCUCCCAUGUCCCCAUUUCAUCUUUCACAGAAUAGGGACAAAAAUUGCUCUGCUGUUUCGUGCAGUUCAGCAAAGCAUUUAAAAUUGCACUUUAUCUUUUUAAGUACACAAGAAGUUCUCCAACUACCUGCACAGAGCAACGUUCACAUAGAAGUGUUCUGUGACACUGGGUCUGAGUAAUUUGUAAAGGAAUUGGAGAAGUCUAAGUGAGAGCCAUUAACCAUUUAACCACUUUAAACACUCUUUUAACCAUUUUUUUUUUCAUUUUUGUCCAUUUUUUUUUCAAGGAAGCGAGAAUUUUACAUUAGAUGUUAAUAUUUUUCUUUAUCCUUUUUGUUCAAGUAUGAUGCAAAGUGACUACUUAAAAAAUACUUUGCACGGUGCAAAGUGACUACUUAAAAAAUACUGAAGAAAAAUAAAACAAAUGCUAGGGCAAGGCAAACCUUUGAAUUACCACUCAGAAAUCAGAAAUGUAUUCAGAGUAUUAAUUUCUGGCACUGCCAAUAAUAAGAAAUUAGACUUGGGUCUCUUUUGUUUUGUUUUGUUUUACUGUUGUUUUGUUUUACUGUGUUGCACAGUGCCUGAUUUCUUACCAGGUAUGAACGCCUGAGGAUCAGUUCUCAAUGGCAUUACUGGGAAAUGAGAGGUUUUGUCCUGCUUUCAGCAUUUUCUCAGCAUCUUGUUGGACCAGGUCUCUUGUUUAGCGUUUUUAAGCUAUGCAUACUCUUGCCACAGUUUUUUGUUUGCACCUAUUUCUUUUCUGUCUCAUUUUACUCUGCUUUCUCCAGCCCUCACCUCAUUUUCUGCUCCACCACACCUCUUUGCUACCUUCCAAGGUCAAAUCCAUAAGAGACGGGCAGCAAAGGAGCAAGGGGCUUGUUCAGUACCAGCCCCCCCCAAAGAGCAAUGCUAACUUGCACUGUGCAUAUGAAGAGCUAUUCAGAGCUCAGAUUGGUGACAGUCAGGGGACAGUUUAACCUCUGGCAUCAGCUAGAACUGGGCAGCGACACGAGCCAGUGCAGUCGUGCUAAUUAAUGUACCCUGAGGGGACACAGCGAGGCACUGGCCGGGUCCACCUGAGACAUACUGCUGUUGGUGCCGAGAUGCCAAUUAGAGUGUUCCCUCAUAAAAAUAACCUGUACUAAAAAAAAUAAAAUAAAAAGGCAAAAUUCCAACUAAAGUAGAUAAAACAAAACUUAGACAUAAAUUACCAAAGUGGACUUGGUAAUGUGGCUCUCUGAUACAUCAAUACAAGGCAGGACAAGCUCUGCUGUCUCCAGGCUGGGCAGCAGCAUCGGUGCUAACUUCCCUCACCUGCAUGGGCUGGGGGCUGAAGGUAUUCACACCCAUCAUCUCCAGCCAUCCUCCAUUAGAGAGCAGGGCUGAACAUCUCAAGAUCACAAUCUCUGCAGCUGGCAGGGGAUGUCUGGGAAAGGAUCUCAUCCUACACCAGACACCAAAUAGAUACACUUCAGAGUGAACAAAAAGUCAGGAGAGGCUUUGGUUCCUCUCCUGCUUCUGGUUUAACACCAAUAGUGUAUUGUCCUUUGCAGGCUCUCAGUUUCAAGUUCUUCUAUGACCAGUCUGCAGUCCUCAAGCUGAUUAUCACUGCAUUGAAAAUCAAGCUGUUGUUGGAGUAUGGCGGGGUCUUGCUUUCAUCAGCCGACCAGUUCUUGAUAACUGAGGCAAGGAAGCACUUUGUUCAGACUAGCUAGAGUCGUGUUAAUCUGCUUUUUUCUCUGUAGAUGUGUUUGUGGUGGAUGGGGGAUCUUAAGCAUGUAUGCACUUGAAAUAUCUGAAUGUUUCUGAUGAAGAAGACCCCAAGGACCUUAACCUCAUGUGAAAGCCAAACCCUCAGUAUGCUUUUCUAGAGAAUGCUCUUCCCUCAGCUGAAGAAAAUCAACUCUGGGAUUGAUGUGAGUAUAUACCUUACAAUAAACUACUAUUCCACUAAAAAUUAUUUUAUCAGACUUUAUAUGGUGAAAGCACAUAGCUGUAUGGGGCACUACUUUACAGCUGACCUGGCUGGUAGGAGAGAGGAAGCCAUUUGGCGAAUCAGACCAGACCAAAUGGCAUUCAUUUGGUUAAUCACCAGCUAUUAAAAUAGCAUCAAAUCAUAGCAACCUAUUUGUUUAUCAUUCAGGGCACAAUUUUCUGCACAGUAUAUUCAUAACUGCUGUACCCAAGCUAAUUUUAAAUGAGCCAACAAAGCCUGUUUUUCAGCACUCUCCUGGGAAAUGGAUCUGUAGACUGAUCGAUCUCACUGCUUCUGGGGCUAAGGCCCCACAAAAUCAGAGCUGAUGACAUUGGUGUUUAACUAUGAAAAAAAGCUGAAUGCUUCCUUUAGAGACAUUUUUAAAGCUCUGCAUGAUUUUAGUUUUUUUGCAUUGCUCCAAGGUCCAUUUGACUUUCAGUGUCUCCAAGCAGGCCACUCCAACCAUGUUCUCUCUAAGCAUGAAUGUUCAGGCACCACUGCAGACCACUUUGUGAUUUCUAUUUAGAGACAACAUUCAGCAGUUCCUUGGUGGCUCCUCUGUUUUUCACCAAGAAUUCAGCAAAUGAUGAAAUCCUUUUUCUCCAGCUCAGGAAUAUAACAGUAACUUUGAUAUUGGUCAUCAAAAUGCUGAUCUGUUCCUGAGGGCUGACACCUCACUGCUGGAGUAGGAGCCCUAUAAUUAAGGGAAGCAGAGCACUAGAACUGUGGUCUGUGCAAUGAUUAAAUCAAUUGAUUUUAGUACUGAGGUAAAAAAUGGAUGAGUAGCACCUUCCCCAAAUACUUUUUUCAUAUAAGUAAAUAAAUGCACAGUUUAAAAUUUCUCUUCUGCUACAGUGGGUGUCCUCCUAAUCUAGCUUCCUCACUCCUAACAUACCUGCAGAGAAACUAGGACAAAUUUUGGCUUUGCUGGCAGACCUGUUGCACAGAUUCCUAUGAUGUUCUUGCUCUCGGUACCAGCAAAAUAGGUGUGUGCUUAUUUUUAGGGUGCAAUAGGAUAUGAUGAAACCUCAGAGCCGUAUUAAGGCUAGCUGAAUCGUUGGCUUGACAUUUCAUGCUGCACGUCAGUUGAUUGGUCAUUUUAUCACCAGUUAUGAAGUGAAAUUAGAUAAUCUCAAUGCCAUAUGGUAUACAGUAUUUAUAGUUUAGUAUGUUUUCCAUAUAUGUGUGCUAAAGCCUGCUUCAGGGAUUUGUUACGGUCCUUGUGUUUACGGGAUUUGGGUCUUGGGUGAAAGAAGAAAUUGACAGUUGCUAAUGUUUGACUUAAACUGAUACAUCGGAGGCCACAUGGGCGAACCCUAAUUAAAGUCAAUUCACACUUUCCAUCCUUCGCCUAGGGAGGCUGUCAGGUCUCCUGGGACCAGACCCCAAGUCCACCCAGCUCCAUUACCUCCAACAGCAAUUGGGACUGAGCAUCCCCCAUCAGUUAACUUCCACCCCAUCUCCUCCCCCAAGCAGCCAUGAGCGUGUGGUGUCUCCUCCAGGUCUCUAUCACAGGUGGACUUCCACCUGAAGCAUCCCUACAAGGAUUCUUGUCAGCAUUGGGUUUAACCUCAGAAAUUCUCACCUUCCAUCAAAAUGCUCCAUUCGCCUUGAAAUCUUGAUAAAUAAGGAGCUACAGGAUUAAUUAUGUGGGACAUUAGUCACUCAAUAUGUGUCAUUAUUUUCUCAAAACAAGACUAAAUGAAUGCCACAAUAGGGUCUUAAAGAGAUCUGCUUUUGGAGCUGACUCAAAUGCAAUAAAAUAAAAGCAUCUUCUCAACGCCAAACAUCAGUUGCCUGGUACAGGUACCUACUCUGGGGACCCUAGUGAGCUGUAUGAUGUGAAUACCUUUAAUACAAAUAAUUUCUUGUCUGUUUCUCAUCAAAAUAGAUCCCCAUGCACAUCUUCAGAUCCAGUACAAGCAGCAGGAAAGCUGUGGUAAGCUUUAGAGCAGAUGUGCUGGUCUUCUUGAGACCCAAGUCCCAGUCCUCAUCUCUGUCUCUGAUGCAAUGUCUUGGAUACUCAACGUUGCUGUAAUGGCAGACACAACAGAAAGAGGCUGAGACUGGACCAAUAUUAUUAUAUAUUUUUUAAUGGUAAAUAGUAAUAACAAUCAACAAGCCCUGAGAGAGGACUAGUGAUGUUCAAUUGCCCCCCAAGAACCCUGUGAGCAUUGGAACAAAGAGGAGUUAAUAAAUGUUACAGUCAGGUUUUUUGGAUGGGAUUCUUGCAGAAUAUGAUUUCAUAAUCCGCUGUCUCUAGUGAACAACAAGACCUCUGUAAACACUCAAUAUUCAAACAGAAAAUUGUUUCUUGUAGGCUUCCAUGGCACAAAAUAAAAGCUCUGUAAAUCUGGGCCUCCAUAUGUGGUUCUCAGCUGGUGUAAGUCCCUGAAUGAAUUACAUGUGAACAGAGAAAUUAAUGCUACACACAUGGUGGCCAAACUUGAAAGCAAAAAUUGCAACUGAGAAUAUGCUGCAGUGGAUUGUGAAAUAUUUGAAGAUAAAUGGAAGCUUGAGUCCUUGCUGAUAUAAUGCAUCAAUGAUGCAUUUCAAGGGAUACACAACCAUCACAGCAAGAUAUUACAAUACUGAGAUCCUAUUUGGGAGAGCACAAGGACUCGCGCAUUAAAAUCAAAGACUGAAUUUAAUCAGAACGCAAAAAAGUAAGUUUGUAAUAUUGGCUCUUUACUGUGAUUUUGAACAAAAAGUAAUUGGGUAAAAAAAUUGGCUUGCUCUUUUUAAAGAAUCCCACAAUUUACUGUUGCAGUAAAUGUGUAUCCUAUCUAGGUUUUGAAAAGAUUGUUUUCUAAAGCUGCUUUUGUUAAUCUGUAAAUGUUGAUGACAAAUUACCCAAGAGUUUUUGUACUUUUGAAGCAGUUGCAAUCUUUUUGUUAUAUUUUUUUCAACCCUCUGAAGGCAGGGGAGGAGGAAAGAAUGUGCAUGUUCCAGUGAAUUCUAAAUGAGGGCUGUGCCUCCCCUGUUUGUAAAAAGCCAAGCAAAGCAGUAAAAAUAAUAAAUAAAACAAAUGAAACCCUCUUUAAUCCA